UAAUAGGAUUUUUCGGGGGAA
rnacentral:piRNA from 1 species